rnacentral:rRNA from 1 species
AGUGAACGCUGGCGGUAGGCCUAACACAUGCAAGUCGAACGGCAGCACAGGAGAGCUUGCUCUCUGGGUGGCGAGUGGCGGACGGGUGAGGAAUACAUCGGAAUCUACCUUUUCGUGGGGGAUAACGUAGGGAAACUUACGCUAAUACCGCAUACGACCUACGGGUGAAAGUGGGGGACCGCAAGGCCUCACGCGAUUAGAUGAGCCGAUGUCCGAUUAGCUAGUUGGCGGGGUAAUGGCCCACCAAGGCGACGAUCGGUAGCUGGUCUGAGAGGAUGAUCAGCCACACUGGAACUGAGACACGGUCCAGACUCCUACGGGAGGCAGCAGUGGGGAAUAUUGGACAAUGGGCGCAAGCCUGAUCCAGCCAUACCGCGUGGGUGAAGAAGGCCUUCGGGUUGUAAAGCCCUUUUGUUGGGAAAGAAAUCCUGUCGAUUAAUACUCGGUGGGGAUGACGGUACCCAAAGAAUAGGCACCGGCUAACUUCGUGCCAGCAGCCGCAGUAACAC